GAUGAACGCUGGCGGCGUGCCUAAUACAUGCAAGUCGAGCGAACAGACGAGGAGCUUGCUCCUCUGACGUUAGCGGCGGACGGGUGAGUAACACGUGGAUAACCUACCUAUAAGACUGGGAUAACUUCGGGAAACCGGAGCUAAUACCGGAUAAUAUAUUUAACCGCAUUGUUCAAUAGUUAAAGACGGUUUUGCUGUCACUUAUAGAUGUAUCCGCGCCGCAUUAGCUAGUUGGUAAGGUAACGGCUUACCAAGGCAACGAUGCGUAGCCGACCUGAGAGGGUGAUCGGCCACACUGGAACUGAGACACGGUCCAGACUCCUACGGGAGGCAGCAGUAGGGAAUUUUCCGCAAUGGGCGAAAGCCUGACGGAGCAACGCCGCGUGAGUGAUGAAGGUCUUCGGAUCGUAAAACUCUGUUAUUAGGGAAGAACAAAUGUGUAAGUAACUAUGCACGUCUUGACGGUACCUAAUCAGAAAGCCACGGCUAACUACGUG
rnacentral:rRNA from 1 species